UGCCUGCAUGUUACUUCUGAUUGUUAUAGCAUUGGUGCUGGAGUGGGUGGUUUGGAGCUCACGUGGAAAGCAAGGAAAGGAGAGCAAGGAUUAGAACCUGGAUCUCCACGUUCUCUCUCUGUGUCCUCUCUGGAGCACAAAGCCAGGUGACCUUGAAUCCUUGGUAUGAUGAUUAAUCUUAUUGUAAUAUGAACCACAAAGACCAAGCACAGUGCUAAGAGCUUCAUGUGCAUCAUCUUACUUAGUUCUACUGAUAACUGUAUUUUUACUUCCUAUUUUAUAGACAAUAAACUGAGGCACCUAGAGCCCAAAAUCAACCAGCUAGUGUAACAGCUGCCUAGGAUCGGUACCCAAAGAAGCCCUGUCCUUGAUGCAGAUGUUGCAUUUCUGAGGAUUAAUGUCUAUUCUGAUGAUCCUACAUCCAUCUGAAUGGUGUUCUUGAAUCAGGGAGGAAGGAGGAUUGGCACUGUGACCCUUGAUACCCUGAGUAGGACCAAAACAGUCACCUCGUAACAGAUAAGCAGGCAGGAUCCAGUCUUCCUAUAAAUCCACCCAUGUAUUUAAUUACUGAGCACCCUCAAAAAAAAGUUUCUGGUAUUCCAGAAGGUUCUGGAAGCCCAAAGCUCCUUUCCCCAAAUCAGAAGACAAGACCUGGGUGCAUGGGAAAAAGGACGUCUCCCUUCUUCUGACUCUCUUGGCAUCAAAUUCUUUACUUCUCAUGGUACCCUUGUGAUCCCAAGUUGGGGCCUUUCCAGGACAGUUCCAGUCUGAAAUAUUUUAUCCCGUUGUCCUCAUCAGUACUUGUGAGGCCACAUGCUCUGAAUUUGUCAUGGAAAAAAGCUGUAAGGAAAACCCUAGCUCAGAGCAUUUCCUGUCCAGCUGAAUCUACAUAAAUUUUGCCCUUUCCUGGCACCUAGGCAUAGUGACAUUUGGAAGAUUUGCUAGAAUACCAGCUAAGGAAAAGUUAGCUUGCAGGUUGGUGUAGAGCUAAAGGAUAGGUGAAAUCCUGUAUCUUGAAGCUUGAUUCUGAAACCCCCCGAAACUUAUGCAAAAACCCACCCUCAUUGAUGAACAGGGAUUCAAACUUGCUUUCACCUUUAAGCCUCAGAUGUAGUUGUGUGGUUUCAGCUUUUCGGAAUUCUCUUUCCCAUGAAUUCCCUGAUAAAAGUUCAUUUAAGAGGAAACAGAACCUUUUCCUCUAUAGUGAGAAAGGAGAGUUAACUAGCCUCUCUCACCUGGGGCACUGUUUUUCACGCCAAAGUUCUCAACCCAUUGUUGGGUCACAAAAUCAAUUUAGUGGGUCCUGACUUUUGGCAAAACUUCAAAAUGAUAGCUAGAUGGAAAGAUACAGAUUUAGAUAUAAAUCUAGAAUAGAAAAGAAAAGGCAACAGAAGAGAACAUAUCAGAAUACAUGACACUUGAUUUGGAUGAGUAUUGUUUCAUGAAACUUCUGUUUCUUGUUUUCUCUACCUCUGCAUAUGUGUUUUGGGUCAUGAUGUAAAAAUGUCUUGUUUCCUUGGGUCACAGGAAAAAAUGUUCAAUACCACCCUGGUAGGACAGGUCACGCAGUUCACACAGAGACUGAAAUUACUAAGGCAGACCCGCCCCUGAGAGCUGGUUCCACCAGAAGGAGAAAAGAGUAGCAGGGGGCUGAGCACCUAUGGGGGAGGAGCCUGAGCAAGGGCGUGAGGACCAGCAGUGCAGAAAGGAGAGAGGAGGGCUCACUCUCAGCCCCUCCACAGUGGCAGCCACAAAGCACUGAGUGCCAGCAGUGACUUAAAGGAGUUACCCCUUUCAAGUCUUGCCACACUCCAGAAGGAAGAUGAGUACUCCUGUUACUGUCCCAUUUUACAGAUGAGGAAACUGAGGCUCAACGGGUUAAAUAACUUGCCUGAGGUCACACAGCUUGUAGUUGCAAACAAAACUUGGUCUAACUCAGGUGUGCCUGAUUUUUCAGCUCAUGCUCAUACAACCACAGUAAGCAAUUCCUCUGGCCUAAGAACAGGAUUUGGUGUUGGCCCAGAAUCAAGGAUCCACGUAGACCAGCCACGAGCCUUGCCUCUGGGUGCAGGGUAGGCAGGGCCAGGAAGCAGAGGAGCCCAGGUAAUGGAGGGCAGGGCCAGAGGCUGGUGGCUGCGAGGGUGGCAGGCCUCCCCAAGCCCUGCUCCUGCCGGCUGCAGGCUGCAGCUUUGCCAUCGCAGAAUACGCUGCUAAUUAUAACCAAACAAUGAGCAAUCACAGCCUGCUGGCGGUUUAGCUCUCGUUAGAGGCCUGGCAGGCUUUUCAUUAGAACUUCCCAGCCGCCUGAAGGCGGCGGCAGGAGCUUUGGGCUCUAGCUCCCCACCCCCUUCCUGCUCCCUCCUCUGCUCCCUCCUAGGAGCCUGGUCUGUCCAAUUCAGCCCGUGCUUACUCAGCUCCUGAGGUGUGCAGGCUGUGUUCAGUGCUGCAGGCGGGUAUUGGAGGCAGCACUUUGUUCCUGCCUUCAGGGAGCUCACCCUCCUCCCAGCAGUCUCUUGACUAGAAUAAAAAAAAAAAGCCAGGCCCAUUGGCAGAGAGGAGAGAGGUUUUGGACAGCUUUGUGUCCUAGGUGGCUUCUCUCUAUGGCCCUUCCUAGGGCGCUAUGAAAAUUAAUUUCUGCCCUUUGGUAACGUGGGACACCAGAGGACUGGCUCUGUGUAAACGAUCUCUAGUGGUGCUCAGUCCCACAGGAUGUCCUAGGGAGAGGAACUCUUUCAAAAUCUUGGGAAACGUAAACCUGGGCCGAUAAGUGAGAUGCACGAAGUCAUUAUAGGCCUGGGGACCCAGAGGAAGUUCUCAAAUGCCUAUUUUAAGGGCUUUGGGAAGGGCUUGAGGGAAUAACCUCAGAGGGUAGAGCCCCUGCCUCUGGUUCUGAAGAAGUGAACACAGUUUACUGCUCCCAGGCCAGACUUCAAAGUGCUUCAGUUUUAUCUUUUGCCUCUUCAGCCCGCAUCACCCUUCCUGACAUCUAACCUCCUUCAGGUAUAACUGGGGACCACUCCUCCUGCUUCCAUAUUAGGGCUUCCUUAGCUGCUAUCAACCCAUCACAUUAAGGCCUUAGUUGAAAAUUAAUCAAAAUAGUAUCCCUCUAGGAACCUUUGUAAAUGCGAGAGGCAGGAGGAUAGAGCUCAGUGGUAGGGUGCACACUUAGCGUGCACGAGGUCCUGGGUUCAAUCCCCAGUACCUCUAUUAAAAAAUAAAUAAAUAAACUUGGUUGCCCACCCCCAAAAUACAUAAAUAAAAUAAACUGUACAAAAAAUAAAAAAUAAAUGUUAUGAAAAAGCUAAAUGAAUGUGAGGGAACUUGGGUCCUGUUCACUGAGGAAUCCUUAACGCCUCCCUAGCAGACCACCUGCCCAGAGCAGUAGAACAGGGUACCUAGUUGCGAGAUAAAUGAAGAGCUGGGAGGGACAUGAGAGAGUACCUGGUCUUCAUUUUCCAGGUGAAGAUCAGUGGCCCCGAGGUAGGGUGACCAACCAUCUCAGUUUGCCCAGGAAUGAGGGACUCCUAUGACAUGGGACUUUCAGUUUUAAAACCAGACUUUUAGUUUUAAAAACCUCUAAGGAGUUGUGAUGAGUAAACCUAUAGGAGCAGAGCAGGAAGGAAAGAGGAUUUGGUGGAGUUUUGUUCACUGGGAAGAUGCGCACUUUCAGCCUCAUCCCCCAAUUUCUGGAGAGAGGAAGGCUGAAGACUGUUCAAGAUAAAAACUCCUGUGCAGAAAGAUUCGAAGAGCUUCUGGGUUGGUGAAUACAUCCACACGUGGGACGGGUGGUGCAUCCAACUCCACGGGACAGAGGCUCCUGCAUCAGGACCCUUCUGGACCUACCCUGUGUACCUCUUCAUUCAGCUGUUCAUUUGUACUCUUUACCCUGAAGCAAUAAAUGUAAGUGAAGUGUU